GUGCUGACGAGUGGCGAACGGGUGAGUAAUGUAUCGGAACGUGCCCAGUCGUGGGGGAUAACGCAGCGAAAGCUGCGCUAAUACCGCAUACGAUCUAUGGAUGAAAGCGGGGGACCGUAAGGCCUCGCGCGAUUGGAGCGGCCGAUAUCAGAUUAGGUAGUUGGUGGGGUAAAGGCUCACCAAGCCAACGAUCUGUAGCUGGUCUGAGAGGACGACCAGCCACACUGGGACUGAGACACGGCCCAGACUCCUACGGGAGGCAGCAGUGGGGAAUUUUGGACAAUGGGCGCAAGCCUGAUCCAGCAAUGCCGCGUGCAGGAAGAAGGCCUUCGGGUUGUAAACUGCUUUUGUACGGAACGAAACGACUCUGGUUAAUACCCGGGGUUAAUGACGGUACCGUAAGAAUAAGCACCGGCUAACUACGUGCCAGCAGCCGCGGUAAUACGUAGGGUGCAAGCGUUAAUCGGAAUUACUGGGCGUAAAGCGUGCGCAGGCGGUGAUGUAAGACAGUCGUGAAAUCCCCGGGCACAACCUGGGA
rnacentral:rRNA from 1 species